rnacentral:rRNA from 1 species
GAUGAACGCUGGCGGCGUGCCUAAUACAUGCAAGUCGAGCGAACGGACGAGAAGCUUACUUCUCUGAUGUUAGCGGCGGACGGGAGAGUAACACGUGGAUAACCUACCUAUAAGACUGGGAUGACUUCGGGAAAACGUAGCUAAUACCGGAUAAUAUUUUGUACCGCGUGGUUCGAAAGUGAAAGUCGGUCGUACUGUCAGUAAUAGAUGCAUCAGCGCUGCAUUAGCUAGUUGGUAAGGUAACGGCUUACCAAGGCAACGAUGCAUAUCCGACCUGAGAGGGUGAUCGGCCACACUGGAACUGAGACACGGUACAGACUCCUACGGGAGGCAGCAGUAGGGAAUCUUCCGCAAUGGGCGAAAGCCUGACGGAGCAACGCCGCGUGAGUGAUGAAGGUCUUCGGAUCGUAAAACUCUGUUAUUAGGGAAGAACAUAUGUGUAAGUAACUGUGCACAUCUUGACGGUACCUAAUCAGAAAGCCACGGCUAACUACGUG